GGAGAGGUGGCAGAGCGGCUGAACGCGCUGGUUUCGAAAACCAGUAUGUCCUUUGGGCAUCGGGGGUUCGAAUCCCCCCCUCUCCGCCA
rnacentral:tRNA from 1 species